rnacentral:snoRNA from 1 species
AAGACUAUACUUUCAGGGAUCAUUUCUAUAGUUCGUUACUAGAGAAGUUUCUCUGAUCAUGUAAAAACAGAUAUAUAGAGAUAACUUGUAUCUGA